rnacentral:rRNA from 1 species
AUUGAACGCUGGCGGCAGGCCUAACACAUGCAAGUCGAACGGUAGCACAGAGAGCUUGCUCUCGGGUGACGAGUGGCGGACGGGUGAGUAACGUCUGGGAAACUGCCCGAUGGAGGGGGAUAACUACUGGAAACGGUAGCUAAUACCGCAUAACGUCGCAAGACCAAAGUGGGGGACCUUCGGGCCUCACACCAUCGGAUGUGCCCAGAUGGGAUUAGCUAGUAGGUGGGGUAAUGGCUCACCUAGGCGACGAUCCCUAGCUGGUCUGAGAGGAUGACCAGCCACACUGGAACUAGGACACGGUCCAGACUCCUACGGGAGGCAGCAGUGGGGAAUAUUGCACAAUGGGCGCAAGCCUGAUGCAGCCAUGCCGCGUGUAUGAAGAAGGCCUUCGGGUUGUAAAGUACUUUCAGCGGGGAGGAAGGCGGUGAAGUUAAUAACUUCACCGAUUGACGUUACCCGCAGAAGAAGCACCGGCUAACUCCGUGCCAGCCGCCGCGGUAA